GGGGGUAUAUAUCAGUGGUAGAUAGCUCGCUUCGCAUGCGAGAUGCCCAGGGUUCGAUCCCCUCUGUGCCUCCA